rnacentral:rRNA from 1 species
CCUACGGGUGGCAGCAGUGAGGAAUAUUGGUCAAUGGGAGGGAGUCUGAACCAGCCAAGCCGCGUGCAGGACGACGGCUCUACGAGUUGUAAACUGCUUUUAUACGGGGAUAAAAUGCUCUACGUGUAGGGUUUUGAAAGUACGGUACGAAUAAGGAUCGGCUAACUCCGUGCCAGCAGCCGCGGUAAUACGGAGGAUCCGAGCGUUAUCCGGAUUCAUUGGGUUUAAAGGGGGCGUAGGUUGUUUGAUAAGUUAGCUGUGAAAUUCCGAUGCUCAACAUCGGAGCUGCCGCUGAUACUGUCGGACUAGAGAUCGGAUGCAGCAGGCGGAAUGUGUAGUGUAGCGGUGAAAUGCAUAGAUAUUACACAGAACACCGAUUGCGAAGGCAGCUUGCUAGGCCGGAUCUGACACUGAUGCACGAAAGCGUGGGGAUCGAACAGGAUUAGAUACCCUAGUAGUC